AACCAGAAGGCGCAAUGAAAGUGAAGGCACGGUCGCCGUGCUGAGGUGAGAGCUGUCCAUGGCAGCACAUCAUCGACCGAUCCCAUCCACGCUCUCGUGGUGUGGCGGGAUUCGAGUAAGAGUGUACCUGUUGCGACCCGAAAGAUGGUGAACUAUGCCUGAAUAGGGUGAAGCCAGAGGAAACUCUGGUGGAGGCCCGUAGCGAUUCUGACGUGCAAAUCGAUCGUCAAAUUUGGGUAUAGGGGCGAAAGACUAAUCGAACCAUCUAGUAGCUGGUUCCCUCCGAAGUUUCCCUCAGGAUAGCUGUAGCCCUAAGCAGUUUUAUCAGGUAAAGCGAAUGAUUAGAGGUAUCGGGGAAGAAACUUCCUCGACCUAUUCUCAAACUUUAAAUAGGUAAGAAGUCCGACUUGCUUAAUCUGAAGCCGGACACAGAAUGCUGGGUUACUAGUGGGCCAUUUUUGGUAAGCAGAACUGGCGAUGCGGGAUGAACCGAACGCCGAGUUAAGGUGCCAAAGUCGACGCUCAUCAGAUCCCACAAA
rnacentral:rRNA from 1 species